GGAUUCAUUACCGGGCAAUUACUCCGUUGGCAGUAGCUUGGCCAGAAAUUGCCAAUGGCAAUUUAGUAAUAUUAGCCAGCUCACUGCCAAGGGAGAUUUGCCCCGCAAUGUACCC
rnacentral:pre_miRNA from 1 species